rnacentral:rRNA from 1 species
UAUUAUUAUAAGUAUAUUAUUUAUUUUGUUAACAAUUAGUAAAAAUUAAAUAAAUUAAAAUUUAAAAAUUUUGGUAGUAUUUUUAUUUAUUAGAGGAAUUUGUUUAAUAAAUGUUAUUUCACAAUAAAUUUUACUUAAUUUUAUUAAAUUUGUAUAUCGUUGUCUUUAUUUUUUCUUAAGAAAAAAUAAUAAUUUUUAAAAUUUAUAAUAAAUGUCAAAUCAAGGUGCAGUUAAUGAUUAAGUUAAAAAUGAAUUACAUUUAAUAAAAAUUUUCAAUUUUUAUAUUGAAAUAUAUAAUUUAAGGUGGAUUUAAAUGUAAAUUUUAUUAAAUUAUGAAUUUGAUUAUAAUUUAAAGUAUAUACAAAUUGUCCGUCACUUCUAAAAUUUAGGAUAA